rnacentral:tRNA from 1 species
GCCCCUAUAGCUCAGUCAGGAUAGAGCGCUCGCCUGCUAAUCGAGAGGUCGCGGGUUCAAGUCCCGCUGGGGGCA